CGCACAUUGCGCCCCUUGGUAUUCCGGGGGGCAUGCCUGUUCGAGCGUCAUUUCAACCCUCAAGCAUAGCUUGGUCUUGGGCCCUGCCGGGAACGGCUGGCCUUAAAAUUAGUGGCGGUGCUAACGAGCUCUACGCGUAGUAGUUAAUUUCUCGCGUUUGGGUCUCGCUGGUUGCUAGCCAGAACCCCCUAUUCUAAUGGUUGACCUCGGAUCAGGUAGGGAUACCCGCUGAACUUAA
rnacentral:misc_RNA from 1 species